GAUGAACGCUGGCGGCGUGCCUAAUACAUGCAAGUCGAGCGAAUGGAUUGAGAGCUUGCUCUCAAGAAGUUAGCGGCGGACGGGUGAGUAACACGUGGGUAACCUGCCCAUAAGACUGGGAUAACUCCGGGAAACCGGGGCUAAUACCGGAUAACAUUUUGAACCGCAUGGUUCGAAAUUGAAAGGCGGCUUCGGCUGUCACUUAUGGAUGGACCCGCGUCGCAUUAGCUAGUUGGUGAGGUAACGGCUCACCAAGGCAACGAUGCGUAGCCGACCUGAGAGGGUGAUCGGCCACACUGGGACUGAGACACGGCCCAGACUCCUACGGGAGGCAGCAGUAGGGAAUCUUCCGCAAUGGACGAAAGUCUGACGGAGCAACGCCGCGUGAGUGAUGAAGGCUUUCGGGUCGUAAAACUCUGUUGUUAGGGAAGAACAAGUGCUAGUUGAAUAAGCUGGCACCUUGACGGUACCUAACCAGAAAGCCACGGCUAACUACGUGCCAGCAGCCGCGGUAAUACGUAGGUGGCAAGCGUUAUCCGGAAUUAUUGGGCGUAAAGCGCGCGCAGGUGGUUUCUUAAGUCUGAUGUGAAAGCCCACGGCUCAACCGUGGAGGGUCAUUGGAAACUGGGAGACUUGAGUGCAGAAGAGGAAAGUGGAAUUGCAUGU
rnacentral:rRNA from 1 species